AAUGGUUGCAGAUUGAAGAUAAGCAGGCGGCGGUUUCUACACGCUAAUAAGAACCUGAGGGAGCACUGAGAGUUAUACUUGGACCCAGAGAGACGACGGCAGUCAGCAGGCCCAUGAUAACUGUGAGAUUAUUGUAAUAUAUAAUGAUAAAGUGUCUGUCAGCGGAGCCGUCUCCUCCUGGUUGUCUGUCUGCUCUCAUAGAAAAAAGCUUCAGCGUUGGACGUCUGAUGUGAGAGAAGUUCAGGCAGCCUCGACUUUAAGAGACUCAAAACAUUUUGUCAAAACUACUUAAAUUGUAAUAUCUGGUGUGCACGGCACAGCACAACAUUUUCUGAGAGUAAUGACCCAUGGAUCAGCCCGGCGCUGACAGCUCUAUCAGGCUGAGAAACGCUGUCAGACGUCAGAUUUCUACCCGCGACGACAGGAUGAGCUCAACCAGGUAGAGAAAGAGAGAGAGAGAGGAAGAGAAAGAGAGAGAGGCAACAAUGAAGGCUAAGAUAUUUAUGUGUUUACAGACAGGAGCUGAUAAGACUUGUUCAGAGGCUCCUCUACGUGCCAACCGAGGAGUUUAUCUGCCCUUUGACACACAGACACACACACACACACACACACACACACACACACACACAUAU